GGGUUUGAUCCUGGCUCAGGACGAACGCUGGCGGCGUGCCUAAUACAUGCAAGUCGAGCGGAACCUUUGGAGCUUGCUCCAUUGGUUUAGCGGCGGACGGGUGAGUAACACGUGGGCAACCUGCCCUGCAGAUCGGGAUAACUCCGGGAAACCGGUGCUAAUACCGAAUAGUUUUUUGCCCCUCCUGGGGCGAAACGGAAAGACGGUUUCGGCUGUCACUGCAGGAUGGGCCCGCGGCGCAUUAGCUAGUUGGUGGGGUAAUGGCCCACCAAGGCGACGAUGCGUAGCCGACCUGAGAGGGUGAUCGGCCACACUGGGACUGAGACACGGCCCAGACUCCUACGGGAGGCAGCAGUAGGGAAUCUUCCGCAAUGGACGCAAGUCUGACGGAGCAACGCCGCGUGAGUGACGAAGGUUUUCGGAUCGUAAAACUCUGUUGUGAGGGAAGAACAAGUACCAAGUAACUACUGGUACCUUGACGGUACCUCACCAGAAAGCCACGGCUAACUACGUGCCAGCAGCCGCGGUAAUACGUAGGUGGCAAGCGUUGUCCGGAAUUAUUGGGCGUAAAGCGCGCGCAGGCGGUCCCUUAAGUCUGAUGUGAAAGCCCACGGCUCAACCGUGGAGGGUCAUUGGAAACUGGGGGACUUGAGUGCAGAAGANGAAAGUGGAAUUCCACGUGUAGCGGUGAAAUGCGUANAGAUGUGGAGGAACACCAGUGGCGAAGGCGACUUUCUGGUCUGUAACUGACGCUGANGCGCGAAAGCGUGGGGAGCAAACAGGAUUANAUACCCUGGUANUCCACGCCGUAAACGAUGANUGCUAANUGUUANGGGGUUUCCGCCCCUUA
rnacentral:rRNA from 1 species